CCCCCCCCCCGCCCCCCGCGCUCCACUACAAGCACCGGCGAGGCACAUGCUUCGCCUCCUCCAGAUCUAUGAGGUGAUGCGCAAGGAAACCUCGCAUCAAGGAUUCGAGGCGACUUCACCCACAAGGGAGAUUCAAUUGUUUGCAUCGAAGUUGUUUGGAUUUACUAGGAGGAAGCGGUCAGUUUUUUUGCGUUCACACCUAAUUGACACAAUUACAGAUUGGUUUUUGUUUUUGCAACAAUUUGACACUGCAGGACGCAUGUUCAUCUUUCCCCAAUCUACACGGUGAAUAAUAAUAGUAUUUAUGAUGAUACAUGAGCCAGUACUAUGGCUCAUCUUGAUCUGCUAUGUGGAUAAAUACACUUCUGUGGGAUUUUACCUCUCUUAGUGUUGUUUACAGGCAGCCAUCGUUACAGAUUCAGCCGUGAUGAUUACACUUUCAUGGAACUGUAUUUCUCUCCAUGUUUGCAGUCAAGGGAUUGUUACAGAUCCAACGAAAUUAUAAUUACCAUAUUUGUCCUCCACAUCUUUGCUAUGUAGUCUUAUGGAUGUACAUAGCUUGGGCAAAAUAUUGAUUUCCUGUUCAAUCAUACGGAUGUAAGGAUGUUUAUGGCACGUGUAAUUGUUUGUACAUAAGCCUUGGCUCAAGAUAAGGUUGAUGGAACUAUUUUGUAUAUAUGUUCUCCCCAUUUUAAAAAAUAUAGGUAAGUUCUAUGGGGAUAGCUGGAGCGAUCUAUUUUUUAUUUACAAUGUGUAUAUCUAUCUAUCAUUCCUUUUGGUUGCAUGCUUAUCGAGUAUUUGAUGCAUUCACCUAUGAUUAGUAGUGAUGUUGAGUCCUCCUAAAUUAAUCUCAUAUAUACCAUUGCAGGUUGUGCUUUACGAUCCUAAUGAGAAAUUCGACAAGAAAUAUUUUCCAAUUGGGAGAGGCUUCUUCAUCAGUUCUGUGAGAAGUACAAUUAUUUAACACACGUUUUAUCUUGAUUAUCUUUUCAACCAGUGUAUCAUCUAGCAACCUCUAUUCCAAAAAUUAGCACAUUUUCCAUUGAGAAAAGAACAAUUGUACUUGAUGGACAACAAUGGACGUAGGCUGGCAUCUAAUAGAUGUGGUCGCUUUUUGCUUUUUUUAUAUCUUCAGAAUUGUACGCUCACCCACCAUAUUGAUCUCCAUAGAGGAUAUGUUGUGGGCAUGUUAAUCAGUCUUCUAUUUAUGAAGUAGCCAUUCAUUGGUCCAUGUUUUGCUGAUCGAUUCAAAGUAUACUGUUUGCUUCAAUUUGUACUCUGAUAUGAAACCAGAAUAAGUCUUAAUGAAUGGGAAUCAAAAGUUCUUUAUUGGAGUUUUGAAGAUCUGAAGAACCCACUCACCCGGACAUCUUUUCAGUUAGUCUGGUGGUGUCAUAGUUGGUGUAUCUGAUUUCUGCAGGUUUGGGGAUAAUGGACAAGACCUGUAUGGACUUAACACUUGGUGAGCUUCCUACCGAUGGUGACUGGGUAGAUCUGAUGUUGUUUGUAAUUAGUUUUUGUAUUAGCAAUAUGAAAAUAUGAACUAAACUAUAGACAAUUUAUUAGUAUAUGUUUGUAGAAUAUGUAUUGAAGAUGAGUAGCAUGCACGGUGCAUGUUAAUGUGAGUUUUGGUCAUGCAUAAUGACAUGGUGCGUUGGCAUAGUUGCAUGUUGUGAUAACUAAAUUUCGUAGGGCAUGCAUGGUGGCAUGCUAUCUUUCUUAGUAUGUUCCCAUGCUUGCAAACCUUAUCCAGCUCAUUUCUUAAGAGAUUGACAAUCAUCAAGUUCGCAACCUGGUCCUUUUCACUGUUGAACAAAUGCAGAACAAAAAAACCAAGUUUGUGUCUGGCAAAUGGUCCUUGGCUACGCCGUUUAUUCAGGUUAUGAGCUAGCUGAAAGCUGAUGCUAGCUACUGGUUAGGAAAGAUUUAGUUCCUGGUCAUUUUCUGGCCAUGUCGGUCGUCGUAAGUGGUAGUUCAACUGUUUCUGUUGUUUCCUUUUUGGAUGUUUUUUAAAACUGUUUUUGGUUGUUGUACGGUCAUUUCUUUGUCGUUGUACUCUGAGACUUUGGCAUUCUCUUAUCCUAUAUACCUAAGAAGUUCAGCCCCACUAUUUGUACUCUGCCCAUCUAUCCACAUGACCCAGUCUGCUACCAACAGAAAGUCAAUUCUCUUUACUAUUACAAUGUUGACAUUGGAAUUUUUAGUGUUGGUUUGAUGUUCUAUUUAGUUUCUGUUCUACAUUUAAUGCUAACAAAGAGAUCCCGUAGCAACGCGUGGGGUAUCAUCUAGUUCUAAUAACACCCAGCUUAUUAUGAUAACACCUACGACCCGCACGGUAGCUACAGACUAACGACGACAGAACUGCCCUGAACAAAAAUCCCACCCCUUCUCGCACGACCACCCACCACUCUCCCCCGAGCUCCACUCCUCCACCAACCUCCCUCCCCCUAUGCAGCACGACACCCCACCCCACCAUCACCUACCUCCAGCCCCGUCAUCGGCCACCACCUGCCAGGCUGCCGGCGACCACGGGAUGGCCCCGACCACCGCGACGCCCCACCCCACCACCUCCUCCCACUCCCGGUCGGCGUGCCUCCCGCCUCACUACGCCGCGCUGCCACAGAUCCAUCCAAGCCCGACGGCUGGCGCACCUCCUCCCACUCCCGGCCACCGUGCCUCCCCUCCCCCAUCGCAUCGCCCCGCCAUUCCCCCACCCCGCCUCUGCCACCACCUCAUGGCGCGCGCCACCUCCCUGGACAACCAGAUCUCAGCCACCCCGGGAGCCCAAUUCCUUGCACCUGCCCAUCUAGCCCGCGCCACGCCUGUGAUGGUGGUUGCCUGAUACCAAGGUGGUUGCCUGCUCCCCUUCCAGUCCCAGAUCCGUUCGGUCGCCGGUCACCACCAGCGCCAAGCUCCACCCUCGCCCUCAUCUCCCCCAUGCGCUGAACACUUCCACCCCCACCCCCUGCGAGCUCCCCUCCCCUUCCUCCGACUACAGCACGACGAGGUCGAUGGUCGCAUCGGGCUCACCUCGUCUACCCCCGUGCGGUCCACCCCCGGAUCCGCUGCAGCCCGCCCUCCCGGCCGGGAGAUUCUCCCAAGCGCACCGGCCGCACCCUGCUUCUUCUCCCCUUCUGACGAACAGACAAACAUGCGAGCCUUUGGGCCAUCCAGUUCAGAAAGCUUUUUUUCUUAGUUUUUUUUUUCAGAUUUGGCUGUUGAUGUGCAGUUCACAAGUAACAGGAGUGCGUCACGGCCGAGCAGCAUGAAUCUCAGUUGCUCAGCUGAGCACAAGGAGUGCCUCCCGGUGAGCACGGGCUCCGGCCAUGGGAUCUCAAUCCUCCAUCUGUCAUGGAUCCUCGCUGGGGCAGCAUGGUGAUGCAGUCCGGCAUGCGCGCGCGUGCAACACGAUUGUGGUGGCGAGGCAGCUCGUGUUGUUCCUUCAGCUAGUGGAGGGUUGGCCUUUAGUUCAGAAAAAAAAAUUAAGUGUAGCUCACUUGUUUCAUUGCUGUAGUGAUCUUGUAUUCCGAGCGGUUCACUAUGUUGCCAAGUGCAAAAACAAAAUGGAAGAAAACAAACUGGAAAAAGUUGAUUUUUUAA